CUUAAGGUAAUAAACUGGGAGUUCAAUCGCUGCACAGCAUAAUCGAGGCCAGAUCACAAGCUGGGAUCAGCCAUCAGCCGAGGGGCCAGGUGGCUUCUCCGUGUUCUGUGGUCAACGACCUCCUGUGCGGCGUGUGCUUGGUCAUAAAGGAACAGGUGUGACAGGUGGGUAAGUCACUGUGACAGCUACCCACACACAGACAAGCACAUUCUCAAAGCACAUAUCCCUCUGACCUCAAAUCCACACACCAAGGGAAACAGACCUAAAAAGGACUUUGUGUUUAGUCUCCUGAUCUGCAGAAGGAUACGCCCCUCACCGGAGGGGGCCAUGGAAAGUUGGCUCACUGCUUGUGACUCCCUGAGGUGGCGUGGGGCGUGAGCAAGAGCCUGGGCUCUGUGGUCUGACACAGCUCUGAGCGCCUCUCCCGCCACCUGUCAGAUGUGCGACCUCGGAAAUCUUACAGCAAAUCAGGCUGCUAAGCCUCAGAAAACACAAGGCUCUUCCAAAUUUCAGAGUACAACAAUGUGAUGGGGUCAGAAGAGAAAAUGCUGUAGGUAUCUGAAAUUUUGCCUUGUAAUACAUAGUUGAAGGAUAUCACCUACGACAGAUGUCAGCACCACCAGCCUUGGGCCCGCUUGGGUGACCCGAGUGUGGCUCCUUGGUCCCAUCUCCCGGCGUCUCCUGUCUGCCCCCGCCACCCCGCUGCCCUCCGAGCCUCGGUCCAGUUCAUCCUCCAG
rnacentral:lncRNA from 1 species